rnacentral:ncRNA from 1 species
UGAAAGACCUUGAACAGGAAAAUAGUGGAUGGCAGUACAAAGAGAUCGGGUCCUCCGGCUGAAAGACCCGAAACGAAAAUCCAUGAAAAACCACCUGGGAGUCUCCUGCGAAGACUUAUCGUAUAAGCAUGGACGUUUGCCGCGUUAAGGCGUUUUGAGUGGAAGGCAGCGAUGCCUUCAAUCAGGGUGGAACCGCGACGACUCGUCCCUUUU